AGGACGAACGCUGGCGGCGUGCCUAACACAUGCAAGUCGAACGAGGUCCAACCGGUGGCAACACUGGUGAAGACCUAGUGGCGAACGGGUGAGUAUCACGUGAGCAACCUGCCCCGAAGACUGGGAUAACACCGGGAAACCGGUGCUAAUACCGGAUACCCCCACCGGAUCGCAUGGUCUGGUGAGGAAAUGAAUUUUGCUUUGGGAGGGACUCGCGGCCUAUCAGCUUGUUGGUGGUGUAACGGACCACCAAGGCUUCGACGGGUAGCUGGUCUGAGAGGACGAUCAGCCACACUGGGACUGAGACACGGCCCAGACUCCUACGGGAGGCAGCAGUGGGGAAUCUUGCGCAAUGGGCGAAAGCCUGACGCAGCAACGCCGCGUGAGGGACGAAGGCCUUCUGGGUUGUAAACCUCUUUCAGCAGGGACGAUGAUGACGGUACCUGCAGAGAAGCCCGGCCAACUACGCGCCAGCAGCCGCGGU
rnacentral:rRNA from 1 species